AUGCGUUAAUUGACUUUUCCUUACUCAAAUCACGCACUUUCUCCUCUGUGUUUUUUUUAUUUUGUUUUUGUUUUCCCGUCCAGUGCUUUUAAUCAUUUUUUUCCACUUUUUUCUCUUUUAAUAAAAUAAUUCCUCUUUUUUUUCUUUUUUUAAAUAUUUAUAUUAGGAAUUUCUUUUAGUGUAAGCAUGAUGUAUAUAUCUUUAAAAUGAAACUGACAACCAAUGAUUUUGUGAUAAAAAACAUAUAAUAAAUUUUAAAUAUUUUUGAGUGGAUAUCUCUGCGGGAUUUCGUUUAAAACGAACGAAUAUAAUAUAUUAAAGUGGAUUAUUCCACGGGUUUAAAUAACUAGUCUCUAUAAUAAUAGCCGUAUUUUGUGUGUUCAAAAGGGUUACCGAUAUUCCUUUGAUAUUUCCGCGAAUUUUUAGAAACCAGGGGGUUGUUUAAUUGAAAAUCUUAUGAUUUAUCAAAAUAAAUUACAGAAAUUAAUUAUUUCCAUACAUAAUUUAAUUAAUUUUAUUGAUAAACCUCUAAUUUAAAAACACAUUAAGUGAUUAAAAUGAAUGCAUUAUUUUAAUACGCCAUUUUUAAUAAUAAUUACCCCCGUGACCUCAAUCGCCGUUUUCGCUCAGGAGCUACAGAAAACAAAUGAAACAUUUUACUGAUAGUUUUACUGACCUUGUUUUGACCGCUCGCACACAAUACACUAAUCAAAACGCUUGAUUCUCUUUAAAAAACCAGUCCAAGACUUUCGCGGCCUGGGCAAACGAAGAAACAUGAGGACCGAACAUGAUGGCUAUUUCAGUUUUUAAAGUAAUGCUGGUCCUUCAAGAUGUCGCAAAAGUUCUAUUUAAAGCGAGUAUUGCAUGCAACAAAUUCUUUGUGGGUUUUGUUCAUCCAGAUAAGCAAUUGAAAGCAUCACAGUGAACGAAUAAGAAAUUUCUUCUUUGGCAAUAUUGACAAAAGUAUGGAUGAUAAUCUUGACAGUAUGAGCAGCACGAAAUAUAUGAUCUAUUGUCCAUUUUGUGACCAAUAUCAGAACAUAUGGUUACAACACAUUGGUUACAAUAAAGUUGACGUAAUAGAGGGAGAAAGGAGGUCUCCAGUUUUCAGAUAAAUAACGAACGAGUGAUUGGCAGUAGAGGAGGAUAAAGAAUAAAGCUACCAUUCGUGAAUGAACCAAAGACCUGACUUUGUUAUCCUCCACAACUCACCAAAAAAAUACAUGAGAGAUGAUAUAAUUAGCUAGGGAAGAAAUCAAGCAUAAGCUCAUUUGUUAUCAGCUUCUAAAGGAACGCUGCCUAUAGAUAUUAAAAAGUUAGAGUGAAACUAAACAUUAUGGCUAGCAUGGAACUAUUUAUUGUCAAGUGCGUGGUUACUGCAUCCAUGAGAGAGAAAAUAAGUAAAAUCAAGUGUCAGUUUUCAAAAAGAAGCGUAACAAUCGAAAAGGCAAGCCAAGAAAAGUCGCUUUACAAGCAAGCGUACAAUGGUUACUCAAAAUUGAAGCAAAAUCAGGUUAUUAGCACAGUGUCAAGGUAUACAGAGAAAUCAAUGUGCAUUGGACGAAUAGGAUUUGAAAAAGACAAAUGGAACAACUUGUCUUUUAUUACAUGGCUUCCAAAAAAGUUUUCUUAUAUACAUGGUUAUAUAUAUAUACAGUUUUUAUAUUAUACUUUGGUAUUUUAUUUACCUAACUGCCACUGCCAUUUGUAGCUGUAAUUGUUGGAAAAGAAAUUUACCAUAUAAACAGCAAGUUAACCAAACUUUGUUUAAAUCUAGAGUAUUCGGCUAGCACUACUCUUAGGCAUACCAAAUCGAAUAGCUAUAUUCUUAACAGUGAAAAGGGGAAGUGCAGUCUACUCAAAAUUAUAAAAAAUCUUCUGUGCUACUUGUUUUUUGAUAGUCCACUGUUAGUACUACAAGUAUUUUUAAUCAUCGUGUUUGAACCCAAGUAUACAAGUGAAUCUACGCGGGCUGAAAAUAUUCUAGCACAGCCUUCAAAAAAUCAUAGCUUCCAUAGCCUGUACAAAAUUUGAAGUGAGCACUGUCAUGUUUUUACCGCUCAACUGUAAAUUUGUGUGCAUUUAUUUUUAUGUUAAAUAUGAUAUUUCAGUCUUUUUUUUCAAAUUUAUGUGUAAUGUUUGCUAGCUUACUGUAACUUCUCCUCCUGUGUCAAUUCUCUUUCUGUUUUUAUUCUUGUGAUGGUAACUUUUUAUGGUUAAGCAUUCCUUUGAAGCCAUAGGUUUUAUAGAUGAUAUAUUGUUCAUAUUGAUUUUCCUUUCUUUAAAGUGAGCAGAAAUAACUAAGUGAAGUUGUUGGCUUAAAACUUUUUCCGCUAAUUUUUGAAGGCCAUUUUUUUCUUGCGAAUAACAAAUGUUUUUUGUACCAAGGUUUUUGGCAUAAUGAGCCUGCUACAAAUAAGAAUUUAAAAUGCUUACUUGGCCACGUCACCGUCCAUAAAAACAUUUGUCUCAAUGCCCCUCAUAGGUAUUAGGGUAAAAUAAUUUCAAUAAAUAACAAUUUCAUUAUACGUUUUGAAUAAUAAAACAUCUCUAUACUGCAAUCAACGAUUUUUUAACUGUCUUAACCAUAUUCGGUCCGGGGGGCGGAUUCCGCCCCUCCCCCCUGACGGUUUUUUUUAAUAACUCCUGAUUGCUUUGUUAUAUGGCUAUGAUACUUAUUGAGUUUAAACAUUUAUGUAUUGGACACCUGCAUGCUUAUUUU